CGCGCAAGGUGCUUUUCGUAAAGUUGCGCGAACAGAUUCGACAUCCGUCGCCCGCAGCGAAGUCGAUCUUAAAACUCGAUAUCAGCCGAAGACAGAGCGGCGAUAGGGACAGAUAGGGUUCCAAAGUAAAAUGAAAUGUGUCAUCGCGGGACUAAAAACCAAGCAAAAUGGAUUCCGGGAACCAAUUAAACUUGUACGAGCCCGAAAGCUGUUCCGCAAUCCUUCGAUGCUUCCCGCUUCCGUCCUUCUCCUCCCUAUCAUCGAAAUUCUGAUGGAGCAAUAGGAAACUCCAAUUUAUUUUGCAUUUAUCUUGGAAAUUUUGUUUGAGAGAUUAGAGGAUCUUACACAAAUUAUUUUUUUCUUUACCUUUACACGAUGUUUUUGUAAAUGUAUAAUAAUUUCUUUUUUUUUUACGAUUUUUUAAUGAUUACUAAUAUCUAACAUAAUUAAAUUUUGAUUUUUUAUCUAAACAUUAUAUAGCCGAAAAAUAAAUGAAGUGAAUUCUCAAUAAAUUAGCAUCCUUAAAAAAAGGUUGUAUUUCUAAAAAAAAAAUUAUGGCAGCAUAUAACAUGAUGUCGAGGGGUCGCACAUCAGAAGGUUAAGGGAUUAAUGAUUAUACAUAUAAAAUAACUCAUUAAAGUAAAUUAUUAUUUGAAUUAUAGAUAUUUAAUCCGAGAAUACUAAUGAGGAACAGUUAUUAUCAAUUUGUAUGAUUCAAUAUAUAAAACUAGCGGAUUACGGGAUUGAUACGCAGGAACAAAUAAAGCACAGUACAAUAUUGAUAAUCCGUCAUAAUUAAUAAUCGUGCAAUAUAAUGGCAAUUACAUCCAGAAUAUACUGUUAGUUGAAUUCCAAUCUUCAAAUUUUAGAUUUCCAUGCACGCAAUUUAUCAUUUAUUAUAGUCCUCUGCUUUUUAUAUAUUUCUCGAACCUCUCCGUGCUAUCAACCUCUCGAGAACAAAAAUUAGUUCAUUUAUCUUCCCAUUUCACCUAUCAUGUAACAUCUUCCCGCGCAUCACUCGGCUGUUAACCCCACCGAGACUGAUCUUCGUUAGGACUGUCAUAUUAUUUCUUUUUUGCGCCUCCUCUCCGGGGCUGGAUGAGAGACCCGUCAGUUUCGCGGAAAGCUCGCAAUUAAAUCUUCCGACGAGGCGUACGACUAAUCCGGAAGUCCUCCAUCCUUUUUCCGGGAACACGUACACACGUAGAUGCGGACGCAGUUGCGCCCACACACACACAUACACACACAUACGCCGUGAAAGCUUCGAGCGAAAACAAGUGGUCGGCGUUAUUAAUAGCUUACCCCUUCGUCGCGAAGUGUGGACAUUGCGAAUUAAUCAAAAGCGUCCCGCUGUCGCGCUCCGCAAUGAAAUUGGGGCGAGAUAAUCUGACCCUUGCUCUUUGAGGCUCUAAGAAACGUGAUUAAUGAUUUUUCGUGGGACAUCGGGGUCGAAUCGUUACGAUAUUCGAAUAAUGUUGUACAUCAAUCGCUCGAUCCACCGUUGUUCUUACCUUGAAGAUGCCUGAAAUGAACUUGGAUUCGACUGUCCUUCCUGUAAUUUGAGAUGAGUGAAGAUUUUGCUAUUGUUCUUCCAUCUAUCUAGACGUUUUCAUUAGCCUUCUCUCUGUUAUCAUUACACAAACUUAUCGUUAUCAUUAGACAAACUUUUCACUCGUAUUUUCUGGAAUGUGACCGAAACGGUUUAAUCCAAAAAGUUAAACAAGAAUUGUGAUGGAUUAACUUUCUCGAUGUAGAAUUUAAGAAAUACUUCUUCUAAAAAUAUUUUCUUCAUUCGAAAAAUAACAAAAAUGUUUUUUUUUUUCUUCAUUAUUUUUCUCGAAAAGUUGAAUUACGUUUCCACUUUAAUCUACGAUUAGAUAUCGAUUUACAGGACAAUAUAUCGAAAUUCGAGAUUGAUCACGGAUUGAUUUUAUUAUUUGUUACUCUUUUAAUACUCACAGAAUUAUUUUGUCGCGGAAUAAUUUUAUUUCAUACGUCUAACACUGUUGAAAAUCGGCAACAGAAUUUAAUGAAAUGGAUAAUAUUGUACCUGAAGCAAAUUUCAGGCAGGUUUAUUAAAAACAUUUAAUGUAAAUCUAAUGUUGUCAAAAGUGCAUUAAAUUUUAUACACAUGUUUUUCAGUUAUGGAUACAUUAAUGUAUAAUAGAUAAAAUUCAAUGUAGUAUACAUUAAAUCUAAUGUGUAACUUAAAAAUACAUGAAUUUCAUGACAUUUUUAAUAGCGUGUAACGAAUCUUCUCUGUUUUUAUCAUCCAAUCCCAAAUUGAUAAGGCACGGUAAGAUUAUUUUUUAUCGCAGAGAGAGUAACUGGUCGAAAACGGUUCUCUUUCCGGUAUCUCACCAGUUAAAUGUCACAGUAAUGUUCACGCCUCUACGCCUCGUAAUUCACGUUUACCACGACCAAAACGCGCUGUCACACAAAGCCUCUAAUAUCUAGCGGUAGCUCACGUCCUGCCAGCACGCGGCUUGAGAAAUUACAGUACGUCCAGGCGAGCGCGGAAUUGCGUUAGGCGAGUUUGUUGCGGUGCUCAAAAGAUCCUUUUGAGGACGCUGUCGGGAGACCGAAGCUAAGUUGGCGAAAUCUGGCGACGGAUUCCACUCGAAAGCGCGUGUUAAGCCAACACUUCUCAAGUCGCUCUCUUGGCCGGCGAACCUUGUACGUUCAUUAGGCAAGUUUGCGACGUUUUCGGUAUCCGUUGGAAGCGACAGUCGGCGGGCCUAUCCUAUUUACCUCCCAUACGUACUGUGUACGUAUCCCUUGCCGGUCUCGAAACUCGCGGGACAUGGCAGUCGUGGAGAUUUGGCGAAUGUUCGGUGAUCCAGUUACUAGCCGUUGAAUAAUAUCUGUUGUUAGUUGCUGGCGGCGGCGGCCGCUCGGUAUGUUAGCGAAUUAAUCGACUCGGUAAACUCUAAGUCCAGAUUUGUCAAUCUUGCGGUGAUUGUAGCGGGGAUACAGCGAGGCUUCUCCCGCUCGUGCGGAACGUGAGUGUCGGUGAAGUUUACCUGGAGAUGAUGAAUCUCCCGCGCGCGUGUUUCAUCGUGGUUAAAGACGCGAUUGCGAAACAACGAUGGACAGUAGAUUGAUGGAUAAAUCGAUGUAUGAAAACCAUCAGACCAGCGGAUAGCGCUUAAGGCGCUUUGUAUAAGAUCUAGAAUCGAGAUAAAAUAAUCAAAGCAAAUGAAACAAGUCCGUAAGUCCAUUGGCGUGUUUUGAGGAAUUUAAAAGUAAAUUACAAUUAAUUUUUAUAAUCGGUGAGGCUUACGUUUCUUUACACAUUACUAAUACUUUGCCGUCUUAUCGACAAUUUUUUUUUUUUAAUCUUCUUUACGCUCGCUAAUUGCGAUUACGAUGAAUAUAUAUAGUAAAUGCGUAUAAACAUGUAAACUGAGCUACCAAUCUAUUCCCCUUUGACAGAUAGAAAUCCUUUGUGGCGGAUUACGCGGUAUGAAUUAUCGCGAGGCAGAAUGACAGUAUUGUAACGACGUAUCAAUCGCGUGACGUUGCAAAUUUACGUAAUGCGACCGACGAAAUGUCAUAAUUCUCGCGCGCGAGCGUAAAUCAUUAGCGUAACGCGGCAACGAAGUUGCGGCGCAGAUCGGCAAGACGACAGAUCGUUAUGUCAGAGCGAUCGCAUCUCCCGAUGCGGGCGCGUUUACGUUCGUGCGUGCCUACGUGCAUUCGCGGGUAACAAUGUGGGAAGGACGGUUGCACAACCACGCCGCCAGUUAUGCGAUUAAUGCGCGCGCCAUUGUGCCGAACUGUGUCACCAAGUGCAUACGGAGAUCGGGAGCGCUUCUGGGACGCGCGAUACCGCGAUAGGCGAGGUGCUCCAGUGGUGAACAAUAAGCUUCAAAGCGCCGACCAUCUAACAAACGCCGUCUCGUUGCGUUCCUCUAGCCAGCAUUUCGCGUCAGCAUCACCGGCUUCUCAACUAUUAUGUUUUACGUACGAUUUUCCGGAUUUCUAUCAUUUUUCUGAAGUAAGUGUUUGGAAGUAAUUUUAACCUCAAUUGUGAAACCCUCUUGGUAAGUCUUUUUUGCUCCUCUUACUGCAUGCUGAAAAAAGAAGUUAUUAACCAACAACUUGACCAAAUUUUUCAAUUUGAUUAAAUUUCUUCGAGGAUAAAUAAUCAAAGGGCUAAGUGAGAGUAUUCGCGUGGCACUCAGUGCGCAAGUUUCUUUUUCAAAAUUACCAGCAUUAUUUCAAAUCCAAAGUGAACCUAUGUAGGUAACUAUGCAUUCUUUGACACAAAAAGAGAAAUAAUUACUAUUAAUGGCAAUCGGAAGGAAGCUUAAAGACAUUAGAAGAACUUAUGCAAUUUAAUAAUUCAAUAAAAAAGGGCUUAUGAGAGUCAAAACGCAGUUGUUGCGGAAGGAAACUUCCCGGCCAACUGAGAAACAACAACGUACGGAGCUUAGUAUAAAAUUUCCAAUAACUUGUUAUAAGUAAUUGCGCACAGCUAUUCAUGACAAACAUUACCGACAAUAUCACAAGUAAAAUCGGAAGCCGCUUUACUUUAAAAUAUAUAGCAACUCAGGCAAUGCACUUUUAUCAAAUUGAUAGUAAUAUGUGAGAAACUUGCUAUCUGAAAACGUUUCAGGAUAUUCCUAGUAUACCAAAUACAAAACAUGGAUCUCACAAUUAGUCUCCAUAGCGAAAAACAAUUAUCUCUCUGAUAUCCAUCCAGUUGCGUUAACACACAGUUUGACAAUCGAGUGGUAACGAACUGAAAAUUAAGUUAAAAUUAAUUCCGAUGUAUAAUAUUAUAGUAAUUAAUGAAUGUUCAAAGACAUUUAAAUUCCUUCAGGUCAAGAAUUUAUAUAUUUAACUUAACUUGAAGCACAUAAUGAUGUACUUAAGCUGAAGAAAUUUGAUCAAGUUAAAAAAUUCAGUCAAGUUAACUUGGUUUCUGAGUGCAGUGUAUAAUCUGUACGAAUACAUUUCGUCAAACGUCAAGUGAGUUUCGCAGGAUUAUAGAAAUGUGAGAAAAACAAGGAAAGCGCCAAAUGGCGACGGCGUUUCUCUAUGGCUAUGUUUGCGCUGUAGAAACCAUUGAUUCUCGAAGCAACUGAAAUAUUUGCCUGGGCUCGCCGGCCGACACGUGAAAAUGCAUUCUUGAUCACCGCGUGAAAGUUCUCGCGAAAUUUCUCCGCGCGCCUCGACCGCUGCAAAAUCCCCCGAAAAGCGUCCGGGCGAGAUUUGCGGUCGAGGAAAAACGGUUCUGCCAGAAAAUGCUUCCCCCAUUCGACAUGUGCCUCCUUAGUCAGGACUUUGUGCGAGUCGCAGAACAAGCAAUAUUCCUUCCGCGGGCCAUUUCGUCCCGGAAACUUCUUCAAACCCUUCGCUUUUCGUGCUAUUUUCUUCCCUUUCUUUCUUUUUCUCUCUCUCUCUUCGUCUUUUUAUCGUGUCUUUUUUUCCCGUCACCACUGUCGUUCGAGUGAUCGGCCAACUUUUCAAUCGUUCUCCGAGCGUGAAUGGCGGCGAUCUAAGGUGGAAGGAUGGGCUUCGCGCGGACGAGAAAAGUUUUAAAUUGUCGCGCCGAAAUCUCUGCAAGUACUUUUCUUUUUUUAGUAACGGCAGAACGUAACGCGAGAAUUUUAUUGCGGAAAUUUAUGAAAUUUAUGUAUCACGUUUGCGUGACGUGAGAGGAGGUUCGACCGAAUGAGCGUGACGUUAUGCCUAUAUAAAUAUUACUGGCGGCCAGCAAUAACUAUCACGCACGAUCGACUAGUUCGCUUAACUCGGGCGCGAUUAAAAUCGUGAUCAUGCAAAUGGAAAUAUUUGAAAGAGCGCGUCCUCCGCACCGGUAUCCCAAAUUGGAAAACAUUCGCGCUAUCGUCUGUGAUCCGAUCUUUUGCCGGGUUUAUCGGAAAGCACGAUUUUAAUUAAACGCUGUAAAAUUGAAAACCGUCCGUCGCGUGAAUGGUGAAGGUAAGAAUUAUAUCGAUAUGCUGGGCGUCCCGUAUCGAUUUGACACAUGCCGUAUUUGGCAUUGCUCAAAUACCAAUCGCGUUUAAUCGCAUUUAGUUUACUGACUCGAGAUUUCGCUAAAAGAUACGAAAAUGAAGCAUUUGGAAUUGCAAAUCGCCUAGGCAAACACCCAUGAUACGUUGCAGCGAAACAAUAGUAACUAGUAACAAACAACAGUUGAAUUAAUUUAAUCGGGCGAUGACUGUUAUCUGUUGCUAUCGGUAGAUUUAAUUGAUGCUUUUAUAUUUCUGAGUGUCAUAACUGUUAUUUUGCACACAACGAUGUUUUUUUUUAACAAUUGUAAUCACUUGAGCGAGCCUAAUUGAUAUAAUCAAAUAAUUGCUUUUUCGAAUGAAAAUUAAAUAAAUUCGUUUUGGUAGCACGCAAAAUAUUUCUUAAAUAUUAAAAACAGAUAUACAAUGUUUACACGAGAACGUAGACAAAGAUGAGGGAAAGGCAGACGAGCAUAAAUAAAACAUGUAACCGCGAUAAACGAGGGAGCGUGCCUUGAUGUGGAAGCUUAGGAAAUUGCUAGUACGGCCCGUUUCGGGAAAGCAAUUAAAAGCCGUUGUUACAAAAGAGCUUAUGUGCUUUCGUCUUUCGGAAUUGCGUACUCGGAGACUAUUAAAACAUGAAAGCGCCCACGGAGAAUACUCACGGCGAACGUUCCUUGAAGAGAACUUAUUCUUAUUCAAAAGCAAACCCGUCUGCAGCAACUAGCGGGUCGUUUGUUCUCGUUAUAAAUGUUCUCGCGUGAUUCUGAAUUUUAUUGUGCCUCGUAAUAAUCAAAAUUCCACAGUAAUUCUCCGAGAAAAAAGUCGACAUUACAAUUACUCUAACGACACAUCCCAAGUAUAGAUUCAUCUUUCGUCGACACUGUCAAUGUUAAAAUGAAACUAAUUGGUGAUGUUUGUGAUGGUAAUUCUCAUUGUUUAUGUUACAAUUGCGCUUAUCUCGAUACAUUACAUUAAAAUACAAUUACUUUCUCGUUACCUAUAUUAUGGUGCUUUCUAUUGUGAUUGUUGCUACUAACGGGGUUCUUCAAUUUUCUGCUUCAUCCAUUGCGGACUCUGAAUAAAUUUUUGCUCUACAUUUCGCCUUUUUUCGUCUUUCAACGAAUUCAACUUUAAGCAUCAUUUGAUAUUCAUUAAUGGGAUCCCGUAUUCCCAGCACAAACUCAUCAACCGACGGCUCGCGUUCGAAGAACUAAGCGAACUCAUGACAAAAAAAAGUGAUCUGAAAAUUUCUACGAGACUGUGGCCAAUGACUGUGCGCGCAGGAAUGAAAAAAAAUGCUCGUAAGCCGCUUCACGAACCUCAUUACGAGAUUUACGACUGUCGCCCUCUAAGGAUACAGCUUCAUCCAAGGGAGAUCCGCUUUAUUAAACUUUGCCGGUGGUUGUCUUUAAGCACGAUCGAAGAGACUUGCGGAGAGACAUUAUUUUAUACUGCUUACGGCAUCAAUAUUAACGAACAUAAUUGUCUCGCGGAUAAUUUUGCGAUCAAAAUUAAUGAUCAUACUGCUGUCUUUAAGCACAUUAUCGUUUAUAUUAAUUAUCGAUUAUAUUAAUUAUUUUAAUACAAAUGUAUACAUGCCUUUAGACAAACUACGUAACAGAGAAGGAAAAUUCUGAUACUUCAGAAGAUAAAUCAAAUCCUCCUAGUUAUACAUCUUUCCUUUACUCUCUCUUUUUUUAUAGAUAUUUAUGUCUUUUGAGAUCUAGCGCUAUUCUUUUCUUUCCUCUCUGAUUAAGUUUUAAUUUCAGAAAUGUUGAAUUUUAAAACAAGCUGUGAUGCGUAAUAUUUUACAGUGACUUGUUCAAACUAUUUAAUGUUACAGAAAAAUUAUUAGAUAACUUAAAAUGGAUUAGGAUCAAUUGAUGAUACAAAUGAUAAAAGUAGUAUUUAUUUUGUAUUUAAAGAUGCGAAAGUGAGUAGUUUUAAUAUUUCAUCGGCAAUUUAGGUUUUUGUUGACACAAGCGCAAUUUCACUCUGAAAUUUUACUGUUCAAAUUUUAAUUUUUUUUUUUUUUUUUUUUUUUAUUAAGGAACCUAACAUUUGAGUAAAAUAAUUAUUUGAUAAUGUGGCAGCAUGGAUAAGUCCAUGUGUAGCAGAAAUAUUGAAAAUUAACCUAAAUUUUUCUAGAUCUCUUUGAAAGACUAGUAAACAGUAAAAAAUUUUUAAUUAGUCGGAAACAACCUGGAUUGCCUACAAAGUAAAAAUAUAAUUACCUACGGAGUAUCAUUUGUAAAAGCUUAUCAUGAAACAUCACAAGUUUCCGUUCUCUAUUUUGGACUGCACUCUAGAA